UACAGGGGGGGCAAGCGUUGUUCGGAAUUACUGGGCGUAAAGGGUCUGUAGGUGGCCAACUAAGUCAGACGUGAAAUCCCUCAGCUUAACUGGGGAACUGCGUCUGAUACUGGAUGGCUUGAGUGUGGGAGAGGAAUGCGGAAUUCCAGGUGUAGCGGUGAAAUGCGUAGAUAUCUGGAGGAACACCGGUGGCGAAGGCGGCAUCCUGGACCAACACUGACACUGAGGAGCGAAAGCCAGGGGAGCAAACGGG
rnacentral:rRNA from 1 species